UUUAACGAUCUAUUUUAACAUGUCUAGCCACUUGAGUUCCUCCUGUGAUGCCCAUUUUCUCUCCUCUCUGCGUAUUGGUGCCGGUAACUACAACAACUGCUCCAUCAAACGAACACAGAACGAGAGGCCAAGAGACAGGUUACAUGAUAUAUUUCAACAUUUUAACGAUCUAUUUUAACAUACCUUGCCAUCCGAGUCCCUCCUGUGAUGCCCAUUUUCUCUCCUCUCUGCGUAAUUUGUGCCGGUAACUACAAGAACUGCCCCAACAAUAGAAGACAGAACGAGAGGCCAAGAGAGAGGUUACACGGUCUAUUUCAACAUUUUAACAAUCCAUUUUGACAUACCUAGCCACCCGAGUUCCUCCUGUGAUGCCCAUUUUUAAUUAUUAUUAUCUCCUCUCCGCGCCGGGUGCCAGUAAGUAAGUACAACAGCUGCUCCAGCAUAAGAAAAGCACUGUUCUUUUGUCAAUGUGUCCUCCUGUCCUGUGUACUCGAUCGUCGUGUUCCAGCGGGCCGAGCCAGCCUACACCUCACGAGGGAGUGACAACUGGCACACGUAUAGCCUACACUUCCUCCUCGCCACACGACGCGUCUUCUCCGGGGCCCGUGUAGCCGCUCGUGUAGUCCUGAGAUGUGAUAAUUAAUCUCUUCCACUUGCUCCUUCAGUCUUCUUUUUGUUCUCCGAAACAUCCAUUCGUGAUUGGUCGCAGAUCUGCCAGGGAAAACGUCUGCUUAGCUGGCUUGCCGGCGUGCCUCCCCAGUGCCGCGGGACGGGUGUUGUCGGGUCAUUCAGAACACCAGUUGUCGUCUGCUCCGCUGAUUUCUGCAGUGUGAAGACUCUUGGAGACAACACUAGUCAGCAGGUGUUUACUUAGAAACAGUGGGUAGACGGUGAGAUUCAUUCCUGAACGCAGAGCAGCAGCC